rnacentral:rRNA from 1 species
UGCCAGCAGCCGCGGUAAUACGGAGGGUGCAAGCGUUAAUCGGAUUUAUUGGGCGUAAAGAGCGCGUAGGUGGGCGUGUAAGUCAGAUGUGAAAGCCCGGAGCUCAACUCCGGAACUGCAUUUGAAACUACAUGUCUUGAGGAUAGGCGGGGAAAACAGAAUUCCAAGUGUAGCGGUGAAAUGCGUAGAUAUUUGGAGGAAUACCGGUGGCGAAGGCGGUUUUCUAGCUUAUUCCUGACACUGAGGCGCGAAAGCAAGGGGAGCAAACAGGAUUAGAUA